GACGAACGCUGGCGGCGUGCCUAAUACAUGCAAGUAGAACGCACAGUUUAUACCGUGGCUUGCUACACCAUAGACUGUGAGUUGCGAACGGGUGAGUAACGCGUAGGUAACCUGCCUGGUAGCGGGGGAUAACUAUUGGAAACGAUAGCUAAUACCGCAUAAUAUUGAUUAUUGCAUGAUAAUUGAUUGAAAGAUGCUAUUGCAUCCCUACCAGAUGGACCUGCGUUGUAUUAGCUAGUAGGUGAGGUAACGGCUCACCUAGGCGACGAUACAUAGCCGACCUGCGAGGGUGAGCGGCCACACUGGGACUGAGACACGGCCCAGAGUCCUACGGGAGGGAGCAGGAGGGAAUCUUCGGCAAGGGGCGAAAGUCUGACCGAGCAACGCCGAGGGAGUGAAGAAGGUUGUCGGAUCGUAAAGCUCUGUUGUAAGAGAAGAACGGGUGUGAGAGUGGAAAGUUCACACUGUGACGGUAUCUUAACAGAAAGGGACGGCUAACUACGUG
rnacentral:rRNA from 1 species